GAUGAACGCUGGCGGCGUGCCUAAUACAUGCAAGUCGAGCGAAUGGAUUAAGAGCUUGCUCUUAUGAAGUUAGCGGCGGACGGGUGAGUAACACGUGGGUAACCUGCCCAUAAGACUGGGAUAACUCCGGGAAACCGGGGCUAAUACCGGAUAACAUUUUGAACCGCACGGGUCGAAAUUGAAAGGCGGCUUCGGCUGUCACUUAUGGAUGGACCCGCGUCGCAGUAGCUAGUUGGUGAGGUAACGGCUAACCAAGGCAACGAUGCGUAGCCGACCUGAGAGGGUGAUCGGCCACACUGGGACUGAGACACGGCCCAGACUCCUACGGGAGGCAGCAGUAGGGAAUCUUCCGCAAUGGACGAAAGUCUGACGGAGCAACGCCGCGUGAGUGAUGAAGGCUUUCGGGUCGUAAAACUCUGUUGUUAGGGAAGAACAAGUGCUAGUUGAAUAAGCUGACACCUUGACGGUACCUAACCAGAAAGCCACGGCUAACUACGUGCCAGCAGCCGCCGUAA
rnacentral:rRNA from 1 species